UACGGAGGGUGCAAGCAUUAAUCGGAUUUACUGGGCGUAAAGGGCGCGUAGGCGGAUCUACAAGUCAAAUGUGAAAUUCCGGAGCUCAACUUCGGAGCGGCAUUUGAAACUGUAGGUCUAUAGAGGGAUGGCGGAGAAAAUGGAAUUCCACAUGUAGCGGUGAAAUGCGUAGAUAUGUGGAAGAACACCGGUGGCGAAAGCGGUUUUCUAGCUAUUACCUGACGCUGAGGCGCGAGAGCAUGGGGAGCAAACGGG
rnacentral:rRNA from 1 species